rnacentral:rRNA from 1 species
CUACGGGAGGCAGCAGUGGGGAAUUUUGGACAAUGGGCGAAAGCCUGAUCCAGCCAUGCCGCGUGCGGGAAGAAGGCCUUCGGGUUGUAAACCGCUUUUGUCAGGGAAGAAAUCCUUUGGGUUAAUACCUCGGAGGGAUGACGGUACCUGAAGAAUAAGCACCGGCUAACUACGUGCCAGCAGCCGCGGUAAUACGUAGGGUGCGAGCGUUAAUCGGAAUUACUGGGCGUAAAGCGUGCGCAGGCGGUCUUGCAAGACAGGUGUGAAAUCCCCGGGCUCAACCUGGGAACUGCACUUGUGACUGCAAGGCUGGAGUACGGCAGAGGGGGAUGGAAUUCCGCGUGUAGCAGUGAAAUGCGUAGAUAUGCGGAGGAACACCGAUGGCGAAGGCAAUCCCCUGGGCCUGUACUGACGCUCAUGCACGAAAGCGUGGGGAGCAAACAGGAUUAGAUACCCCGGUAGG